GGGGAAUAUUGCACAAUGGGCGCAAGCCUGAUGCAGCCAUGCCGCGUGUAUGAAGAAGGCCUUCGGGUUGUAAAGUACUUUCAGCGGGGAGGAAGGGAGUAAAGUUAAUACCUUUGCUCAUUGACGUUACCCGCAGAAGAAGCACCGGCUAACUCCGUGCCAGCAGCCGCGGUAAUACGGAGGGUGCAAGCGUUAAUCGGAAUUACUGGGCGUAAAGCGAACGCAGGCGGUUUGUUAAGUCAGAUGUGAAAUCCCCGGGCUCAACCUGGGAACUGCAUCUGAUACUGGCAAGCUUGAGUCUCGUAGAGGGGGGUAGAAUUCCAGGUGUAGCGGUGAAAUGCGUAGAGAUCUGGAGGAAUACCGGUGGCGAAGGCGGCCCCCUGGACGAAGACUGACGCUCAGGUGCGAAAGCGUGGGGAGCAAAC
rnacentral:rRNA from 1 species